GACGAACCGUGCGAACGUUGUUCGGAAUCACUGGGCUUAAAGGGUGCGUAGGCGGGCUCGUUAGUCGGGGUGAAUCCACGGCCAACCGUGGAAGUGCCUCCGAUACUGCGAGUCUAGAGGGGAACAGGGGCAUGCGGAACUUCCGGGUGGAGCGGUGAAAUGCGUAGAGAUCGGAAAGAACACCAAGGCGGAAAGCACUCUGCUGGGCCGACACUGACACUGAGAGACGAAAGCUAGGGGAGCGAAUGGG
rnacentral:rRNA from 1 species